rnacentral:rRNA from 1 species
AUACGGAAGAUCCGGGCGUUAUCCGGAUUUAUUGGGUUUAAAGGGAGCGCAGGCGGAGAUGCAAGCGUGACGUCAAAUUUCGGGGCUCAACCCCGUCUCGCGUCGCGAACUGCGUCCCUUGGUUGCGGGAAGGGGAGGCGGAACUCGUGGUGUAGCGGUGAAAUGCAUAGAUAUCACGAAGAACUCCGAUCGCGAAGGCAGCCUUCCGGCCCGUCAACGACGCUCAUGCUCGAAGGUGCGGGUAUCAAACAGGAUUAGAUACCCUGGUAGUCCGCACAGUAAACGAUGGACACCCGCGGUUUGGCCUAUAUGGCUGAGCCGCCAAGCGAAAGCGUUAAGUGUCCCACCUGGGGAGUACGCCGGCAACGGUGAAACUCAAAUGAAUUGACGGGG